rnacentral:rRNA from 1 species
UACGUAGGUGGCAAACGUUAUCCGGAAUUACUGGGUGUAAAGCGUUCGUAGGCUUUUUAGAAGGUCCUUGAUUAAAUCCCAGAGCUCAACUCUGGAUCGGUUAGGGAAACCGCUAGAAUAGAAGGGUAUCGAGGUAAGUGGAAUUUGUGGUGUAGCAGUGAAAUCCGUAGAUAUUAGGAGGAACACCGGUGGCGAAGGCGGCCCUCUGGAUCGUUGCUGACGCUGAGACGCGAAAGCGUGGGGAGCAAAC